AGACAAUAAAGAAAUGACAUCAGUGAUUAUUUAGCAAUACAAAGGAAAUAAAAGAUAGCACGUGUAUUAGUCAUUGGAUCAUAGUUUUACAAUCAGCUUUACAGCCAUAAAUGUGCAGCCAAAGAGACAAAGUCAGUCACUCAGUCACUUCCUCCACCAGUAAACAGCCUCAACACUCUGCACAUCAACAGGUCGACAACUGAGUCCAACACAUCAUGGAGAACAGUUCCAUCAGUUUGGAAUCCAUCCAGGAGGCAGCAAUGCUCAGAUCAGGUGUUGUCGGAAACCCGUACCUGGCAGGAGGAUACCUGAUAGGAAGCUCCCUGCUGGGCUUCCUCAUCAUCAUCGGGGCCUUCUUGUACAAUCAACGCAAUCUCAGUCUUUUUAAAAGAUCCUGCAUCAUAUCCUUCACCUGCCAGGAAAACAGCCUCAUGGGUCUUCAACUCGUCUACAGCUGUCUGUUGACUCUGCUCACCAUGGAUGCUCUGAAUCUGAUCGUGGCAAUAAUCUUGGGAGCUACACUGGUUGCAUUGUCCUGCGAUGUAAUCAACUGUGUUCUGGCUGAAAACAUCUGGUUCCUGUCCAGGUGGUUUGGAGUGAUUAUUCAUCUUGUGAACGCCUCGUUGUCCAUCUAUAAUCUGCAUCAGCCACUGAGUGUAGCCAGGGUUCGCAUCGCCUACUCAUUGGUUUCUGUGGUGAUUAUCAUUAUGGUCCCACUUUUUCUGUAUGUCUACAACGUGCCCACAUUCACUUUGGCCGCUUUCAUGUUUCUGUUUGCUCUGUCCAUCAUUGUAGCAUCUAGAAGGCCUACCUUGUCCCCGUCCACUUCCACCCUGAAGAAACUGAUCAUGGUUGUUGCAAUGUGCAACUUCCUGGUUGUCUACGUCCCCACUUUCAUUCUUCAGUGCCUCGUGUACACCGCAGCCAAUGUUACCGACUUAGCGAAUUACCAAAAUAUUUAUUUUAAUGUUCUGUAUUUCACAAACCUUCAUCUCAUUUUCGAUGGACUCCAGUGUGCUUUGUUCCUGAAAUUGCCUUCUGGAGAAGAACAGCAACAGCAGCAACAACAACUGCAAGAGUGGCGCCAACAACAGUGGGAGCCACAACAGCAACAACAGUGGCGUCAACAAGAGCAACAACAGUGGCGUCAACAACAGUGGCAACCACAACAGCAACAACAGUGGCGUCAACAAGAGCAACAACAGUGGCGCCAACAACAGUGGCAACCACAACAGCAACAACAGUGGCAGCCACAACAGCAACAACAGUGGCGCCAACAACAGUGGCAACCACAACAGCAACAACAGUGGCGCCAACAACAGUGGCAACCACAACAGCAACAAAAGCUGGGUUUCCAAAAUGCAGGAUUCACUGGUUCUACAAAUGUAUAUCAAUAAUGAUCAAAAUUAUGUCUCUGCACCAUAAAAAUCAAUGUACAUCCCAACCACUGGUGGAUAACCUAGCGUUGUUUCACAAUUCAGAAUUCUUGCUGUCCUCAUGGAUUGUAUCUGUUGGACAGAAGGGUGCAGCUCCUGCUUUAUUCAUAUAAACCCUGAAAUCACAGAUGAAAAUCACCAUUUCACCCUCUCUGUCUGACUUAAAAUCCAGCAUGAAGCAAGAAGAAAUGUGUAAAUACUUCCAUAAUGUACAGGCAGUGGAGAGCUGUAUAAAAUACAGUUUACGGAAAUAGCAGCAACUUUGAAAACUUUUCAAAAUGAAACAUCUGUUCAAUAUGUUGGUUUGUUCAAUUACUUAAAGGCGGAGGGCACAUCUGAAAUAUGUUGUAGUUCCUACAACGUUUACCUGAUCUGGAUGUAAAUACCUUCAAAAUUAAAGCUGAAAGUCUGUAACUAAAGCACAUCUGGAUUGUUUCAUUUAAUGUCUUGGUCAUUUUUUUGGAUUGGAAAGUGAGGGGGCAAUUACUUUUUCACAUGGACAGUGUUUUCUUCAAAAAAAUAAUAAAAUCAAUCAGUCAAUUGAAAACUGCAUUUUUUGCUUUCUUGAGUUUUCUUUGUCUC
ensembl:lncRNA